GUUAACCCCUGCUGGAACCAACCAGCCUUUUCGGACAACAGCGGGAAGCUCCAGCUGUCCCUGCAGGAGAUCAUCGAAUGGCUGACAGCUAAAGACGAGGAGCUGUCCGAGCAGCUGCCCAUAGGUGGUGAUGUGGGAGCGGUGCAGCACCAGCGGGAGUUCCACCAGGCUUUCAUGGAAGAUGUCAAAUCCAGAGGGCCCUACAUCUACUCGGUGUUGGAAUCAGCUCAGACCUUCCUUUCACAACACCCCUUCCAGGAGCCUGAGGAGACAUUGCCUGAUGGCAAAGAAGGCUCUCCUCGCCGGCGAAUGCUGAAUGUAAGUCGCUCCGUAUGGAAGCAGGCCAAUGUGGCCAGUGACCUGUGGGAGAAGUUGACAGCGCGCUGCGUGGACCGACACCGGCACAUGGAGCGAACCCUGGAGAGGCUGCUGCAGAUCCAGGCCGCCAUGGAGGAGCUGGCUGUGGCUCUGGAGCAGGCGGAGGGAGUAAGGGACGCCUGGGAGCCUGUGGGAGACCUGUUUAUUGAUUCGCUGCAGGACCAUAUAGACGCUACCAAGCUAUUUAAAGAAGAGCUGACCCAGGUGAAGGAAGGAAUGAAACACAUAAAUGACCUGGCCCACCAGCUGGCCAUAUCCGAUGUGCACUUGUCCAUGGAGAACGCCAGAGCUCUGGAGCACCUCAACAACAGAUGGAAACUUCUGCAGGGGUCUAUUGAAGAACGUCUGAAACAGUUGCAAGAUGCCCACAGAGAUUUUGGCCCCGGAUCACAGCACUUUCUUUCCAGUAAGUGUGGUAACUCACUUGAAGCCGUAGAGUCUUCUGCCGGAGUCCAUCAGGCUCAGACAACCUGCUGGGACCAUCCAAAGAUGACUGAAUUAUACCAAGCUCUGGCGGACCUGAACAAUAUCAAGUUCUCUGCAUACCGGACUGCCAUGAAGCUGAGGCAUGUGCAGAAGGCUUUAAGAUUGGACCUGCUGAAGUUAAGCAGCGUGGUGGACGUGUUUCGAGAACAGGAGCUGCAGCAUGCCGAGCAUGUGAUGGAUGUGGUGGAGGUCAUUCACGCUCUCACUUCCCUGUAUGAGAAACUAGAGGAGGAGAGGUCCAUCCUGAUCAAUAUCCCCCUGUGCGUCGACAUGUGUCUCAACUGGCUGCUGAAUGUUUACGACAGUGGUCGUAAUGGUAAGAUGCGAGUGCUCUCCUUCAAGACGGGCCUGGUUAUUCUAUGCAGUGCAGACAUCCAGGAAAAGUAUAAAUACCUUUUCAGACAGGUGUGUGGUCCAGGUGGACUGACAGAUCAGAAACAUCUCAGCCUGUUACUGCAUGAGGCUAUUCAGAUCCCUCGGCAGCUCGGGGAAGUGGCGGCGUUUGGAGGAAGCAACGUGGAGCCCAGUGUCCGCAGCUGCUUUCGAAUGGCUCCAGGUAAGUCAGCUAUCGAGGUGUCUCACUUUCUGGAGUGGAUGAGCCUAGAGCCUCAGUCUGUGGUGUGGCUUCCUGUUCUACACCGGGUAACUGUGGCAGAGACAGCCAAGCACCAGGCACGCUGCUACAUCUGUAAGCAGUGCCCUAUCAAGGGCUUCAGAUACCGAAGUCUGAAACAGUUCAAUGUGGACAUCUGCCAGAUGUGUUUUCUGACGGGCCGGACUACCAAGGGCAAGAAACUACACUACCCCAUCAUGGAGUACUACACCCCGACGACCUCAGGCGAGAAGAUGCGGGACUUCGCAAAGACGCUAAAGAACAAGUUCCGCUCGAAGCAGUAUUUUAGUAAACACCCUCAGAGGGGAUACCUGCCCGUUCAAUCAGUACUGGAGGUGGAGAGCUCUGAGACGCCCUGCUCAUCUCCCAGGCUGCCUCAUGCGGACACACACAGCCGGAUCGAGCAUUUUGCCAGCAGGUUGGCAGAAAUGGAGAACCAGAGCUGCUCCUUUUUCACCGACAGUCUCUCUCCAGAUGAAAGUUUGGAUGAAGAUCAGUACCUCCUACGUCACUCCAGCCCCGCCCUCGAGCAGGACUCCCCCCACGGCCACCUGCUGGCCCACCUGGACUGCCAGGACAGAGAAGAGCUGCAGCGCACCCUCCAACGCCUGGAGAACGAGAACAGGGUGCUGCAGGGCGAGUAUCGGCGGCUGAAGUGGAAGCAUGAAGAGGCAGCAUCUUCACCUCAGCUGCUGGAAUCGGGUCCCGGUUCACCGGCCGGUCAGCAGGACGAGGAGCUCCUAGCCGAGGCUCGAGUCCUUCGACAGCACAAGACCCGCCUGGAGACGCGCAUGCAGAUUCUAGAGGACCACAACAAGCAACUGGAGUCCCAACUACACAGACUCAGAGAACUACUGCUGCAGCCCAAAGACGACUCAGAGGCCAAUGGCUCAGAUCCUUCUUCUCUAUCGUCGCCUGUGUCAGGGGGUGGCCAGCAGGGGGAGCCUCCCAGUAGAGAGACCACAGACACAGAAGCUGCAGGUGAAGAUUUGGAUCACGAGCAGGACACCGUACUGCAGCUGCAGCAGGUAAUCGAACAGCUGAGGAACGUCUUCCCAUCUGAGCCAGGUCCAUGAGGAACCUGAAGCAAAACUCAGAGGCCUAAAAUUGUGCAG
ensembl:lncRNA dystrophin-related protein 2-like